AUUGAACGCUAGCGGCAGGCCUAACACAUGCAAGUCGAACGAGUGGCGGACGGGUGAGUAAUGUCUGGGAAACUGCCUGAUGGAGGGGGAUACCUACUGGAAACGGUAGCUCAUACCGCAUACCAUCGGAUGUGCCCAGAUGGGAUUAGCUAGUAGGUGGGGUAAUGGCUCACCUAGGCGACGAUCCCUAGCUGGUCUGAGAGGAUGACCAGCCACCCGCGAACUGAGACACGCUCCAGACUCGUACGGGAGGCAGCAGUGGGGAAUAUUGCACAAUGGGCGCAAGCCUGAUGCAGCCAUGCCGCGUGUAUGAAGAAGGCCUUCGGGUUGUAAAGCACUUUCAGCGAGGAGGCGUUACUCGCAGAAGAAGCACCGGCUAACUCCGUGCCAGCAGCAGCGGGAAUAG
rnacentral:rRNA from 1 species